rnacentral:tmRNA from 1 species
GGGGAUGACUUGGUUUCGACUGGAGUAGUCGGGGCUAUGUGCAUGUCGGACUGGGCAAUUCCGUUACGCGGCCCACUUAGCUUAAACGCAAACAAUACAGAUUAUCGUCCAGCUUACGCAGUAGCGUAAGUCAUUAACCCCGCUAACGCGGAGGACUGCCUCGCUGGUGAGUGUCAUCUUAACCAGAGUUUGAGGUAUCACAUCUGAUGACUAUGCUCCAUGGAAGCUAUGCCAUGGUGUGAGAAUUUUAGCUCGUCUUGUAAAGUUUUGAGUGUAGUACAAAGCAGGAUUAAAAUUAACAACACUGACUAAGCAUGUAGAGUCAUAGUUCUAUCUAUUUUAGGACAGGGGUUCAAUUCCCCUCAUCUCCACCA